AUCUAAAAUCAAGAAAAUUUCACCUAAUUCUAAAAAUAUGGAUUAAUCCUACAACAAGACUAAUACAAAAGAAUUGAAUACAGAAAGGCUUUCCGGAUCCAAGCAAAGCCUGAAUACAGAAACCAGGUCAAACAUGAAAUCGUUCCCAGCAGCCCGAACUCGUUUCCUCAUCAUCUUCAAAAAACUUCAGAAAGGCCUAAAACGCGAACCAGAGCUUGCCGAAGGAAAUUGCUGAAGGCGUCACAUUCGAGCCAGAUGUACGCUCCUAAACGCCCUUCAUCGGCGAUGAUGACGGAUUUUCCUCGAUGACAUAUGAUAGCAAACGGAUAUUACCGAGGGACUCGAUUCAAACUCCAUGGAAGAAUCACACGAAUCCGCUUCCAACUCAAGGUUCAAACGUAAUCGAAAUCGAAAAUGGAAUUUGACGCGUCGCUCUUGCGCGUGAAAAUAUAAGCCAUUGAAAAAAUGAAGAACAUACCAGAUUUUGCAACCAAGGAUCUUGCGUGAGUUGCAUGGAAGAUGAAGAGCGAAGACGACCAACCAUUUUCUCCCGAAAGAAUGGCAGAACUUAGGAAUCGAUGAUGACAACGAUGAAAAAUAAAGAAGACAGUUGCCAAUAAGGGGAAUUUUGGUUGCAGAUUGAUGAAGUUCUGUUGCAGAGUCGAAAUGGAAUGGAUUUUGUGCGUUCUUGCAAUGAAACAGAUUGAAGAAUGGAGAAAACUUGAGGGUUGAAGAUUGAAGAGAAUUUGCAGAUUGAAGCUUGAAGAAAAGUGAAGAUUGAAGCUUAAAUCGUUAAGGUCGGAUCAUGAAUGAACUUAAUUGGUUAAUGGAGUGGAGGAAGCUUCUGUUGUACUAGAAAAACUGCAGGAUGGACAUGAGGACUUUGGAAAGGGUUGUCAAAUAGCAAGACAUGAGACAAAGCAAAUGUGGAGGCAAGGCAUUCAAGGCAUGGCCUAACCACAUUUGAUACAAAAUGUGAAGUUUCUCCUUCAUGGAGUUUUAUGCAAGAAUAAAGAUAUAAUGGGUACUAGGGUUUAGGGAUGAAAAACAAUAUGGAAGUUGACUUUGAUCAAAUGGUUGACCAAAAAGUCAACAGUUGACUAAAAGUCAACUUUUGUAGAAAUUACUUUUUUUGUAUUUCUUUUGUAUGAAUGAUGUAACUUGUAAUACAUGAAUGAAAUGGACACUUGUAUGCAAA